AACGAGUUGCUAAUUUUACGUUAGACGCCCUUUAAUUUCACGCUGCCAUUUGUGGCUUCCGUUUCGUAUAAGUUU
rfam:Drosophila melanogaster chromosome X.